rnacentral:misc_RNA from 1 species
AAGUCGUAACAAGGUUUCCGUAGGUGAACCUGCGGAAGGAUCAUUACUGAGAUAGGGUCCCCAACGGGGCCCGACCUCCAACCCUUUGUCUAAAUUACCUUUGUUGCCUCGGCGGGCCGAUCGAGCCUGUUCUCAUGCCCGGCCGGUAGCCCCCCAAGGGGGUCCCCGCGCGCCCGCCGACGGACCCCUUCAAACCACUUCUGAACGAGACAAUCUGAGUGAAAUAUAAUACUUCAAAA